UUAUCGCUCGGAGGCGGCAGUAUUCUCCACCUCUCACACUGUUUAGGGCUGGAAUAUAAUCUCACAGUUCGCGUGCGUCGCUAUCUGCCAACAUGCAAAUCAUAAAAAAUAAUACCGAGAUACCCUACGUAUGCCAUUAAAACCGUUUAAUUGGAACACGCUUGAAUUAAAACACUUUGCAUUGUUCUGACAUGUUACACGUUUCGGGAACUUUUAAAAAAGUUAUUUUUGUCACCAACUUUGGGCUUGUGUGAGUGGGUGGUGCAAUUUUUGGGAACUGCUUUACAGUCAUUAAGUGUUUGCAUCCCGGCCGCAGCAAUGAACGGCUCGGACUUUUUAAUUUUACCUGGUUGGGAGCUGAUAAACUUGACUUUACCGGAAGUGAACUGGAGCAACACUUCAGACCCGGAACGAGACGCCUGGGAACAAUGGAGUUCUUUGAUGCAAGAUCGUGCAGUGGUAGUUUCUCUUUUACUCCUUUUCUCGAUGACAACCGUCUUUGGUAACAUGCUUGUAAUCCUUGCGGUGGUACGUGAACGAUAUCUCCACACCGCUACAAACUACUUCAUAACAUCGCUCGCCGUCGCCGAUUGUUUAGUGGGCUUAGUGGUGAUGCCUUUCAGUGCACUUUACGAAGUUUUAGAACACACGUGGUUUUUCGGAACUGACUGGUGCGACAUCUGGCGCUCACUCGACGUGCUGUUCAGUACUGCGUCAAUCUUAAACCUUUGUGUAAUCUCCCUGGACCGGUACUGGGCCAUUACCGACCCCAUAACCUACCCUAUGCGGAUGACUCGCAUCAGAUCUGCCCUUUUGAUAGCCGCGGUUUGGAUCUGUUCGAGCGCUAUUUCUUUCCCGGCGAUUGUUUGGUGGAGGGCAGUACGGACCGAACCCAUCCCGCCCUACAAAUGCCCUUUCACCGAACACCUAGGCUACCUCAUCUUCUCCUCAACAAUCUCCUUCUACCUGCCUUUAUUUGUCAUGGUAUUCACCUACUACCGAAUUUACCGAGCCGCAGUCGCCCAAACACGAUCCUUAAGACUCGGUACUAAGCAAGUACUGCUAGGGUCAGGCGAACUCGAACUGACCCUAAGGAUACACAGGGGAGGCACGUGCAAGAUCCCCAAUCCAGAAACGCGACAUCUAUACUCUACUCAAGAAGACGAGCCUUUGACAGCGUUACAAAAUAACGGAUUAGCCAGAAUGGCCUCGACUAGAUUGGGACCACAUAGCAAGAAUUUCUCUCUGAGUCGGAAAUUAGCCAAAUUUGCUAAAGAAAAAAAAGCGGCAAAGACUUUAGGGAUUGUGAUGGGGGUGUUUAUCGUGUGUUGGUUGCCGUUUUUCGUUGUGAACUUGCUCUCUGGCUUCUGUCUGCAGUGCAUUUGGCACGAAGAAAUCGUCCUAGCGGUGGUCACGUGGCUGGGAUGGAUCAACUCCAGCAUGAAUCCCGUGAUCUAUGCUUGCUGGAGCCGAGAUUUCAGGAGAGCCUUUUUAAGGAUUCUGUGUGUUUGCUGUCCUCGGCAAAUAAGACGCCGAUAUCAACCAGCUUUCCGAAGCAAACCAAGUCAGAGGUUCUCAUCGCAGCGCUAUUACUCUUCGUACUCGCUCCGCCAUAACUCCUGCGAGCAGACAUACAUUUAGCACACAGCCCCGCCUCGGCCUUCCAUGGAGAUCGCCCCCAACUUACCCUUUGCCCGAUCGACGUCACUUUUCUAUUUUUAAAUGAGAUAACAUUGACCAUCCAUCCAAAUUCUCCUUCUUUCCUUAGGCCUCCAGGCGUGUGUGCUCAAGUAUUUUAACUCCCAUGUGGUCGAGAGCGCCCCAAAUAGCGUGACUUACUCUUCAGUGGGCCAACAUGAACUUUACCCGUUGUGACGCCACGUCCGGACGAGACAUCCGACACCUAAUUUAUCGACUGGAAGUCCUGGAUCGCCCACACACAGAGU